GAUGAACGCUGGCGGCGUGCCUAAUACAUGCAAGUCGAGCGAACAGACGAGGAGCUUGCUCCUCUGACGUUAGCGGCGGACGGGUGAGUAACAAGUGGAUAACCUACCUAUAAGACUGGGAUAAAUUCGGGAAAACGGAGCUAAUACCGGAUAAUAUAUUGAACCGCAUGGUUCAAUAGUGAAAGACGGUUUUGCUGUCACUUAUCGAUGGAUCCGCGCCGCAUCAGCUAGUUGGUAAGGUAACGGCUUACCAAGGCAACGAUGCGUAGCCGACCUGAGAGGGGGAGCGGCCACACUGCAACGGAGACACGGUCCAGACUCCUACGGGAGGCAGCAGUAGGGAAUCUUCCGCAAUGGGCGAAAGGCUGACGUAGCAACGCCGCGUGAGUGAUGAAGGUCUUCGGAUCGUAAAACUCUGUUAUUAUGGAAGAACAAAUGUGUAAGUAACUAUGCACGUCUUGACGGUACCUAAUCAGAAAGCCACGGCUAACUACGUG
rnacentral:rRNA from 1 species